rnacentral:rRNA from 1 species
GAGUUGUAAUCUGGAGAAGCGUUUUCCGUGUCGGACCGUGCACAAGUCUCUUGGAACAGAGCGUCAUAGAGGGUGAGAAUCCCGUUUAUGGCACGGACAACCGAUACUUUGUGAUACGUUUUCUAAGAGUCGAGUUGUUUGGGAAUGCAGCUCAAAAUGGGUGGUAAAUUCCAUCUAAAGCUAAAUAUAGGCGAGAGACCGAUAGCGAACAAGUACCGUGAGGGAAAGAUGAAAAGCACUUUGGAAAGAGAGUUAAACAGUACGUGAAAUUGUUGAAAGGGAAACGCUUGAAGUCAGUCGCGUCUUCUAGGACUCAGCCUUGCUUCGGUUAGGUGUACUUCCUGGUUUGACGGGUCAACAUCGAUUUUGAUCGACGGAUAAAGGAGAAGGGAACGUGGCACCUCCGGGUGUGUUAUAGCCCUCUUCGUAUACGUCGAUUGGGAUCGAGGACUGCAGCACGCCCUURUGGCCGGGGGUUCGCCCUACGUAUCGUGCUUAGGAUGUUGACAUAAUGGCUUUAAGCGACCCGUCUUGAAACACGGACCAAGGAGUCUAACAUGCUCGCGAGUGUUAGGGUGGAAAACCCUUGCGCGUAAUGAAAGUGAAAGUUGGGACCUCUGCGAGGAGGGCACCGACGCCCGGCCCUGAAGUUUUCUGACGGUGCUGCGGUAGAGCGCGUAUGUUGGGACCCGAAAGAUGGUGAACUAUGCCUGAAUAGGGCGAAGCCAGAGGAAACUC